UAAAAAGAAGGAGAUGCAUUCAUCCGGUCUCAUUCAACGAUGGACCGUUCUGGAAGGUCCAGUUUGAUUGGAGUCUAUGAGCAGCAGGUAUUUGAAAUGCUGCCGGUCCAUUGCAAGUCCAACAAGGAGCAUGUGCCAUGCGGAUGAAUUGAAAGGUUCCACCUGAUGCAGAAAACUGGUGCACGAAGAUGCCAUCAGCUCCACACGGAGUUUACCAAAAAGUGGUGUAAACUGAUCUUCAAUAUGAAGUCCUGACUGUGAUGGCAAUGGUGGUCCUCAUGGUAGUUCUGGUUUAACAUGAAGCAGGGCUGAAGAUCCUUUGUUUCACUUAUGGAGUCCAAUGUGCAGAAGACCCUAAAUUUCUUCUCCCCUCUGUGCUGCAGGGUGUCUGAUCAUUGACAGGUGGUGCAAGCCUUGAGGUGCUGCAUGGAGUUGUCAUUUGCCAGUUACAGGUGGCUCUGCAUCACGAGGAUGUCUCUGGAAGGUUUUAAGAAUGACGAUUGGUGGACAUUUUCUCUUUCCAAAGCUGUUAUCUACCCAAGCUGAACCUGAAGUACUUGUUGAAAUUAAGCUUUAUGUAGUUUGGAACUACCAUGUGGUGUUUAAAUGGUUCUGAGUGAAUAAAGUCAUUUUGAUACUAA